rnacentral:rRNA from 1 species
UGAGGGCUAUUGACUACAGAAAAGCUACCACAGGGAUAACAGAGUCGUCGCCGGCAAGAGUACAUAUCGACCCGGCGGCUUGCUACCUCGAUGUCGGUUCUUUCCAUCCUGGCUGUGCAGCAGCAGCCAAGGGUGAGGUUGUUCGCCUAUUAAAGGAGAUCGUGAGCUGGGUUUAGACCGUCGUGAGACAGGUCGGUUACUAUCUAUUAGGGGUGUUUUGAGGUCUGAGGGUAAGUUGCAUUUAGUACGAGAGGAACUGUGCAACGGUGCCACUGGUGGACCUGUUGUCUGGUAAGGCAUCGCAGGGCAGCUACGCACUAAAGGAUUAAAGCUGAAAGCAUCUAAGCUUGAAACCUCACCUAAAAAGAGACCUCUCAGGACUCUCGUAAAAGACGAGUUUGAUAGAGUCGGGGUGUACGCACCAAGGUGACGAGGUGCUCAGCCCGCCGACUACUAACGUCCCGCUAGAUUUUGCU